rnacentral:rRNA from 1 species
UGGUUCUCCCCGAAAGCUAUUUAGGUAGCGCCUCGUGAAUUCAUCUCCGGGGGUAGAGCACUGUUUCGGCAAGGGGGUCAUCCCGACUUACCAACCCGAUGCAAACUGCGAAUACCGGAGAAUGUUAUCACGGGAGACACACGGCGGGUGCUAACGUCCGUCGUGAAGAGGGAAACAACCCAGACCGCCAGCUAAGGUCCCAAAGUCAUGGUUAAGUGGGAAACGAUGUGGGAAGGCCCAGACAGCCAGGAUGUUGGCUUAGAAGCAGCCAUCAUUUAAAGAAAGCGUAAUAGCUCACUGGUCGAGUCGGCCUGCGCGGAAGAUGUAACGGGGCUAAACCAUGCAC